GAGUAGUGAAGUGAAGUGACCCAAUUCACCAGUAAAUUUACAUUUUCUUCAUCUCCAAUUCUCUGUUUCUCUCACUCUCUCUUCAAUUUCUCUCUACUCCAUCUCUGUGCGAAACCCCUCUGCGAAACCCUAAUUGCUGUGAGAAGAGAAAUCGUCUCUAGUUUCUCUGCUCUGUCGAUCUCAUUCCUCUCCAAUUUCUCUCUGACGCACCCAGAUUGUUCCAAGUCUUUGUUUGAUUCUAAUGGCCUAUUCUGGGUUUGGCUUUUCAGGAUUGAAUCUCCUCUCGGAGGUUGCAGUUGCAGAUCUUGCUGGGUUUGGGUUUGGCGCCAACACAAGGGCUUCUCCUUCUUCUUUGAAAUCUUGCGAUGUAGCGAUUCAGAUAUUGAUGGAGUUUAGGGUUAUGAAGAAGAAGGGCUUGCUGGCCGCUCAUCUGGAGAAGGCCUUCUUCAUCCCCAAGAAGAAAAGGAAGAGAUCUGGGGAGCAAGAUGGUCAGAUUCCAAGACUAAAGAGGCGGAGAACUAUUACUGGAGAUGUCUUGGCCAUGCCCUCUCGUUCUCAUCAAGAAAUGAACAACAAGAUUAGCAGCCACGUCCCACUCUGGUCAUUCCAAAGGAAAUCCCCGCUUCGAUUUUCCCUCAUCAAGCUUCAUCUAUCUGCCGCCAGGACAACUGCAGUUAGUUAGUGCGCACAUUUUGAGGUAGUUUAUUCUCUGAUUGGGUUUCUUGCUGUGAAACCAAUCUCUAGUUAGUGCACAUUUUUAGGCAAAUUUAAUUGUAGAUACUCAUUGAUUGAAUUGGGUUAUUGUAGUCCCUUUAGUCUAACCAAAUUAUACAUUCAUGUGUGGUUUCUUAUACCAAAUUGAUGACAAAAUCUUCCUCUUUUUGUUUCCUUUUUCUCGAGCUCUGUACCCUCUCUUGUCUUUCAGCAGAGACUUCCAGCGAAGAAGAGAUCAUGGUUUUCAAAGCUGGGGUACAUUCUUGAGACAACCAUAAGAGAUUCAGUAAGAAUAGAUAUAUGUUCUGAUUAGUACUUACUACAUCAUUAGUUGUUCUCUUUUUCAUCACACUAGCUUUCGAUUUCAACCUUUCACACAAACAGGUUUUAGAGCAUUAGAAAGUUAUACAUUGUGGUCAUUUCACUCUAUCUUUUCCUUCUCUAUUAACACUGUUAGGGGAAAAAAAAAAAUCUUUGUUUAGUAUUGUGAAGAUAUUGACAGUUAGUGCAAAGCCAAUGUGGAUACGUUCCGUAGGGGCUCAUUCUCUGAAGUGUGACCUACAUGCGAGGUUGGACAGUUAUAUGGCUUCACAGGUUCCAGGUAAAUAUGCAAGUUUCUGUGUUGAAAGUGAUCUGAAAAUUACCUCUGCAAUCUGAAUUUUGUGUUGAGGAUUAUUACACCCAACUUGAGUAUGAGAAUCUUCCACCAGUUUGCUAUAAAUGUUGGUCAAUUGGGCAUGUUAGAGAGGGUGUGUUGAGAAUGAUGAUUCCGAGAUGUCUGUGACUCCUAUGGAUAAUGUUGUUGAUGUUCCUACGCCUACUAGCUCUAGCUCUUUACCUUAUACUGCCUGUGACUCCUAUGGAUAAUGUUGUUGAUGUUCCUACGUCUACUAGCUCUAGCUCUUUACCUUAUACUGCCUGUGACUCCUAUGGAUAAUGUUGUUGAUGUUCCUACGCCUACUAGCUCUAGCUCUUUACCUUAUACUACUGUUGGGAAGAUUCUGAAGGAUGCUAAUAUGGUUGGUUUGGGGCUUUGGGAUCAUGGAAUGUUCUGAUUAAAAGGAAAAGCAUUAAGAAGAAUGUUGCUUCUAUUGUUCCCAUGCCUGAGAAGCUACAGAGUUCAUCCUACUUCAAUUCAACCUACCAUCUCCUUUAUGCGAAAAAAGAAAAAGAAAAAAAAAGCCUCUUUCAUCUGCAGCGAAUAUUGCUAUUGGAUCCAGAUUUCAUGUGCUUCAAUCUUGUAAGGAUUCUGAGGUAGUCGGAUCAUGGAAUGUUCUGCUUAAAAGGAACCAUAAGAGUUCUCUUCCUGAUCCAGUUGGGUCUAAAGGCAACUUCGUUACUUCAGCUACUGUUGCUCCUGUGUCUAAUGCUCAAGACCACUGGUGGUAAGAAGAAGGUGGGAAGGCCUCGAAAAAAACUAUUGCAACCUCUGCAACCCUACAAGUGCCAUAGGUAGAUAGGCUAUUCGCCUAAAAGUAGCAGUAUGGUGAUUGAUAUUUUUCCUUCAUCUUAUUCCCUUACUAGUGGCCACUGCCCUCCCAAUCUGAUGGUAAAAAUGAGGAUGAAGAUAUGUUAAGGUGAUUUAUUGUGAUUGUGAGAGUCAUUUGUGCCUCAUAAUCAGGCCAGUGUAGCUGCUUAUGCUAAUGAUGAUGCUAUGAAGGAGUUUUCUUUCUCAAGUAGAAAUCAUGUCUUCUCUUGGACGUUCCCAGUCUGAAUGUUGGAAUGCUGGUGCUAAAACUUCCUCUAGUAUUAUUACGGAUUUUCAGAAGUUCUAUUUAAUUGAUAUGUUAGGUCUAUUUGAGCAGAGAAUUGGUGGCAAUAUAUAGAAUUUUUGAUGCUUUUGGGAUUCUCUGAACGUAUUUGGAUCCUUUGGGAUUCUCGUGGAGUCAAACUGCUAGCACUUGCUCCUUUUAUCAGGCUAUCACUGGUGUAGUUUCUAAUGAUCAGGGUUUGGAUUGGAUAUUUCUGUUUAUGGUCAGGAAUGGUCUUUGGGUACAUUUGGAUGAUAUUCUCUCUCUUCAUAGUCUUCCUUCAAUGCUGGUAGGAAAUGUCAACAAUUAUGCGUCUGUAAAAUAUGGAGGUGUUUCAUUUGGACUUGCUUGCUGGAUGGAUUCGAACUGCUUAAUUCACCUAGGGUUUAUUGCAUCGUCUCAAGACUGCCUGGUUUAAGAAGACGUAUGGUUAAUGGGAGCCGUAAGAAAGCGAGGGACAAAUCAUGCAUGCAAUAUAUUUGAUGGUGGCAGGAGUUUCCUGAUGUGUUGUUCAACAGUUCCUUAGACUGAAGUCAGACCACAGUUUCACCGGGUCUUAUCACUAUUCCAGUACGCAGGACAAGCCUUUGUGAAACACCAGUUUUCAGAAUUUUCUUGUAGAGGGACUCUAGCUGCUCCAGAUCAAAAGCUGCUGUGCUUGAUCUUUCUAAAUUUUUUUUUUCAUUCUAGUAGAUUAUGCAAGUGUAAAACUUUUGUUGUAAUUUAGACAUUGGCUUUUAAUAACAUUUCCGUUCUUUUAA